rnacentral:rRNA from 1 species
AUUGAACGCUGGCGGCAGGCCUAACACAUGCAAGUCGAGCGAGCGGCGGACGGGAGAGUAAUGUAUGGGGACUGCCCGAUAGAGGGGGAUAACUACUGGAGACGGUAGCUAAUACCGCAUACUAUCGGAUAACCCAUAUGGGAUUAGCUAGUAGGUGAGGUAAUGGCUCACCUAGGCGACGAUCCCUAGCUGGUCUGAGAGGAUGAUCAGCCACAUGGGGACUGAGACACGGCCCAGCCUCCUACGGGGGAAGCAUUGGGGAAUAUUGCGCAAUGGACGCAAGCCUGAUGCAGCGAGGCCGCGUGUAUGAAGAAGGCCCUAGGGUUGUAAAGUACUUUCAGUCGGGAGGCGUUACCGACAGAAGAAGCACCGGCUAACUCCGUGCCAGCCGCCGCGGUAAUAC